rnacentral:tRNA from 1 species
GCCCACGUAGCCCAACCAGUAGAGGCAAUCGAUUUAAGCUCGAUUCAGUGCGGGUGCGAAUCCUGCCGUGGGCACCA